CUGGGUUUGACAUGCACAGGACGUGCCUAGAGAUAGGUAUUCCCUUGUGGCCUGUGUGCAGGUGGUGCAUGGCUGUCGUCAGCUCGUGUCGUGAGAUGUUGGGUUAAGUCCCGCAACGAGCGCAACCCUUAUCUUAUGUUGCCAGCGCGUAAUGGCGGGGACUCGUGAGAGACUGCCGGGGUCAACUCGGAGGAAGGUGGGGAUGACGUCAAGUCAUCAUGCCCCUUAUGUCCAGGGCUUCACACAUGCUACAAUGGCCGGUACAAAGGGCUGCGAUGCCGUGAGGUGGAGCGAAUCCUUUCAAAGCCGGUCUCAGUUCGGAUUGCAGUCUGCAACUCGACUGCAUGAAGUCGGAAUCGCUAGUAAUCGCUGAUCAGCAGGCAGCGGUGAAUACGUUCCC
rnacentral:rRNA from 1 species